rnacentral:rRNA from 1 species
CCUACGGGGGGCAGCAGUGGGGUAUAUUGGACAAUGGGGGCAACCCUGAUCCAGCCAUGCCGCGUGUGUGAAGAAGGCCCUCGGGUUGUAAAGCACUUUCAGUGAGGAAGAACGCCUGGUGGUUAAUACCCAUCAGGAAAGACAUCACUCACAGAAGAAGCACCGGCUAACUCCGUGCCAGCAGCCGCGGUAAUACGGAGGGUGCGAGCGUUAAUCGGAAUUACUGGGCGUAAAGCGCGCGUAGGUGGCUUGAUAAGCCGGUUGUGAAAGCCCCGGGCUCAACCUGGGAACGGCAUCCGGAACUGUCAAGCUAGAGUGCAGGAGAGGAAGGUAGAAUUCCCGGUGUAGCGGUGAAAUGCGUAGAGAUCGGGAGGAAUACCAGUGGCGAAGGCGGCCUUCUGGACUGACACUGACACUGAGGUGCGAAAGCGUGGGUAGCAAACAGGAUUAGAUACCCGUGUAGUC